rnacentral:rRNA from 1 species
CACGUAGUUAGCCGGGGCUUCUUAGUCAGGUACCGUCAUUUUCUUUCCUGCUGAUAGAGCUUUACAUACCGAAAUACUUCUUCACUCACGCGGCGUCGCUGCAUCAGGGUUUCCCCCAUUGUGCAAUAUUCCCCACUGCUGCCUCCCGUAGGAGUUUGGGCCGUGUCUCAGUCCCAAUGUGGCCGUUCACCCCCUCAGGCCGGCUACUGAUCGUCGCCUUGGUGGGCCUCUACCCCGCCAACAAGCUAAUCAGACGCGGGUCCAUCGUAUACCACCGGAGUUUUUCACACCGGACCAUGCGAUCCUGUGCGCUUAUGCGGUUUUAGCACCUAUUUCUAAGUGUUAUCCCCCUGUAUACGGCAGGUUACCCACGCGUUACUCACCCGUCCGCCACUAACAGAUAAAUCACUAGGUUUCAUUACCUGUCCGUUCGACUUGCAUGUGUUAAGCACGCCGCCAGCGUUCAUCCUGAGCCAGGAUCAAACUCU